AGAAUGAACGCUGGCGGCGCGCCUAAUACAUGCAAGUCGAGCGAGAAGACGUAGCAAUACGUUUGUAAAGCGGCGAACGGGUGAGGAAUACAUGGGUAACCUACCCUCGAGUGGGGAAUAACUAGCCGAAAGGUUAGCUAAUACCGCGUACGCUCCUUGGACUUCGGUUCAGGGAGGAAAGCGAUACCGUGGGUAUCGCGCUCUUGGAUGGGCUCAUGUCCUAUCAGCUUGUUGGUGAGGUAACGGCUCACCAAGGCUUCGACGGUAGCUGGUCUGAGAGGACGAUCAGCCACACUGGCACUGCGACGCGGGCCAGACUCCUACGGGAGCAGCAGUAAGGAAUAUUGCGCAAUGGGACGAAAGCCUGACGCAGCGACGCCGCGUGGGGGAUGAGGUCUUCGGAUUUGUAAACCCCCGUUUCGGGAGGGAAGAGUAGGAACGAGACAAUCGUCGGACGUACCGUCCAGAAGCAGCCACGGACUAACGUUCGUGCCAGCAGCCG
rnacentral:rRNA from 1 species